rnacentral:rRNA from 1 species
UACAGAGGGCUCAAGCGUUAAUCGGAAUCACUGGGCUUAAAGGGUCCGCAGGCGGAUUGGCAAGUAUCUUGUGAAAUACCACGGCUCAACCGUGGAACUGCUGGGUAAACUGCCAAUCUUGAACACGACAGGGGCUACCAGAACUCUAGGUGGAGCGGUGAAAUGCGUAGAUAUCUAGAGGAAUGCCAGAGGCGAAGGCGGGUAGCUGGGUCGUUGUUGACGCUCAGGGACGAAAGCGUGGGUAGCGAAC